ACGCCUUCUCCAGGUUUGGGUCCUGAUGUUUCCAAGAUGUCAUCGUGAGAUCACAGCCAGGCCCCUCAGUCUUGAUCUUCUGAUGCUAUGCUCAGCACUGUGAAGGUUCAGGGGGCAGCUAGAGCUGAAAACAUUCAUGAAGCAAGCUGAGUGUCGCUUCCACAGAGAGCAACUCUGUCCUCACCCCACAAAUCACGGGACUGCUUAGCGCUUCCCUGCAACAGCCACCCCUUAUUCUCUCCCAGCUGUGGUCAGGAACUGGACCACACCAGUCUGCUCAGGGUCUCUCUGAGAGCCUGGGCAUCAUGGAUUCCACUGGCCCCAGGGAUCCUUCCGUGUCUACCUCCCCAAAGCUAAGAUUGCAGGCGCACACUGCUGCAAUGACCUUUUACAUAUGUGUUGGGGAUCUGAACUCAGGUCCUAUGCUUGCACCACAAGAACUCUACCAACUGAGCCACACACCGCACCCCCAGUUCCUAUUCUGACCAUCUUGAUUCAGCCUGGGGGGAACUAUGGAACAGCCUGACUUCCAAGCAAGGGAGAAGUAACUGGGUAGGAUCCUGGAGACUGGCUUCACACCAUGUGGAACUCAACAGCAAACACAAGGAACAAUUUACCAUUCAGGAACUACUUUCAAAGAAUUUAGUUGAGCAUUCACAGAAGUGACUGUUUUUUGCAUCUGCAUCUAUGGAGCAGAUAUACCAUCUUGUGCAUCGUGUGCUAACAAGCACAGUUCAUACCAGCAGUUUGGGAGCAGAAUCAACUGAAUCUUCUCUUGAAGAGACCAGGGGCAGAGGAGGGCGCAGAGGUCAAGAGCACCGACUGCUCUUCCAGAAGACACCAGUUCAAUUCCCAGCACCCACGUG